rnacentral:piRNA from 1 species
UGUAAUUGGAAGAAUCGUUGC